rnacentral:rRNA from 1 species
AACGAACGCUGGCGGCAUGCCUAACACAUGCAAGUCGAACGAGAUCUUCGGGUCUAGUGGCGCACGGGUGCGUAACGCGUGGGAAUCUGCCCUUUGGUUCGGAAUAACAGUUGGAAACGACUGCUAAUACCGGAUGAUGACGAAAGUCCAAAGAUUUAUCGCCAGAGGAUGAGCCCGCGUAGGAUUAGCUAGUUGGUGUGGUAAAGGGGCACCAAGGCGACGAUCCUUAGCUGGUCGGAGAGGAUGAUCAGCCACACUGGGACUGAGACACGGCCCAGACUCCUACGGGAGGCAGCAGUGGGGAAUAUUGGACAAUGGGCGAAAGCCUGAUCCAGCAAUGCCGCGUGAGUGAUGAAGGCCUUAGGGUUGUAAAGCUCUUUUACCCGGGAUGAUAAUGACAGUACCGGGAGAAUAAGCUCCGGCUAACUCAGUGCCAGCAGCCGCGGUAAAAC